AGAGUUUGAUCAUGGCUCAGAGCGAACGCUGGCGGCAGGCUUAACACAUGCAAGUCGAACGCUCCUAGCAAUAGGGGAGUGGCAGACGGGUGAGUAACGCGUGGGAACAUACCCUUUGGUUCGGAAUAACUCGGCGAAAGCCGUGCUAAUACCGGAUAAGCCCCUUACGGGGGAAAGAUUUAUCGCCGAAGGAUUGGCCCGCGUCCGAUUAGCUAGUUGGUGAGGUAAUGGCUCACCAAGGCGACGAUCGGUAGCUGGUCUGAGAGGAUGAUCAGCCACACUGGGACUGAGACACGGCCCAGACUCCUACGGGAGGCAGCAGUGGGGAAUAUUGGACAAUGGGCGCAAGCCUGAUCCAGCCAUGCCGCGUGAGUGAUGAAGGCCUUAGGGUUGUAAAGCUCUUUCGACGGGGACGAUAAUGACGGUACCCGUAGAAGAAGCCCCGGCUAACUUCGUGCCAGCAGCCGCGGUA
rnacentral:rRNA from 1 species